rnacentral:lncRNA from 1 species
UGUGCCAAGCGUAGCCUUCAGCUCAUCGCUGCCAACCAAAACGCCCACAGCCAACGUCCUUCAGCCGCUUUACUGGCCACCGCGCAGGCGCAGCACCAGGUGCAGGGUCGACUCCUUCUGGAUGUUGUAGUCAGCCAGGGUGCGGCCGUCCUCCAGCUGCUUGCCGGCGAAGAUCAGGCGCUGCUGGUCCGGGGGGAUGCCUGCAUCCGGAGAGGAAACGCUCGUGUCAGACAAAGUGGGUGGGCGCAGGAAGCGGCAAUCAACACAGCCCAGUGCAGCUGCAAACCGCCCGCCUUACCACUGACCCGCCUGGCCACCCGCCCCUACCCCGCCUAAGAAAAGAGCCCCGACUCACCCUCCUUGUCCUGAAUCUUGGCCUUCACGUUCUCAAUGGUGUCCGAAGACUCCACCUCGAGCGUGAUGGUCUUGCCCGUCAGGGUCUUGACGAAGAUCUGCAUGCCACCGCGCAGGCGCAGCACCAGGUGCAGAGUCGACUCCUUCUGGAUGUUGUAGUCAGCCAGGGUGCGGCCGUCCUCCAGCUGCUUGCCGGCGAAGAUCAGGCGCUGCUGGUCCGGGGGGAUGCCUGCAUCCGGAGAGGAAACACUCGUGUAAGCCAGAGUGGGCGGGCGCAGGAAGCGGCAAUCAACACAGCCCAGUGCAGCUGCAAACCGCCCGCCUUACCACUGACCCGCCUGGCCAGCCGCCCCUGCCCCCGUUAGAACAGAGCCCCGACUCACCCUCCUUGUCCUGAAUCUUGGCCUUCACGUUCUCAAUGGUGUCCGACGACUCCACCUCGAGCGUGAUGGUCUUGCCCGUCAGGGUCUUGACGAAGAUCUGCAUGCCACCGCGCAGGCGCAGCACCAGGUGCAGAGUCGACUCCUUCUGGAUGUUGUAGUCAGCCAGGGUGCGGCCGUCCUCCAGCUGCUUGCCGGCGAAGAUCAGGCGCUGCUGGUCCGGGGGGAUGCCUGCAUCCGGAGAGGAAACACUCGUGUAAGCCAGAGUGGGCGGGCGCAGGAAGCGGCAAUCAACGCAGCCAAGUGCAGCUGCGUCCGCCUUACCACUGACCCGCUUGGCCACCUGCCCCUAUCCCCGGUAAGGAAAGAGCCCCGACUCACCCUCCUUGUCCUGAAUCUUGGCCUUCACGUUCUCAAUGGUGUCCGAAGACUCCACCUCGAGCGUGAUGGUCUUGCCCGUCAGGGUCUUGACGAAGAUCUGCAUGCCACCGCGCAGGCGCAGCACCAGGUGCAGAGUCGACUCCUUCUGGAUGUUGUAGUCAGCCAGGGUGCGGCCGUCCUCCAGCUGCUUGCCGGCGAAGAUCAGGCGCUGCUGGUCCGGGGGGAUGCCUGCAUCCGGUGAGGAAACACUCAUGUCAGACAAAGUGGGUGGGCGCAGGAAGCAGCAAUCAACACAGCCCAGUGCAGCUGCAAAGCGCCCGCCUUACCCUGACCCGCCUGACCACCCACCCCUACCCCCCGGAAGGAAAGAGCCCCGACUCACCCUCCUUGUCCUGGAUCUUGGCCUUCACGUUCUCAAUGGUGUCCGAAGACUCCACCUCGAGCGUGAUGGUCUUGCCCGUCAGGGUCUUGACGAAGAUCUGCAUGCCACCGCGCAGGCGCAGUACCAGAUGCAGAGUCGACUCCUUCUGGAUGUUGUAGUCAGCCAGGGUACGGCCGUCCUCCAGCUGCUUGCCGGCGAAGAUCAGGCGCUGCUGGUCCGGGGGGAUGCCUGCAUCCGGUGAGGAAACACUCAUGUCAGACAAAGUGGGUGGGCGCAGGAAGCAGCAAUCAACACAGCCCAGUGCAGCUGCAAAGCGCCCGCCUUACCACUGACCCGCCUGACCACCCACCCCUACCCCCCGUAAGGAAAGAGCCCCGACUCACCCUCCUUGUCCUGGAUCUUGGCCUUCACGUUCUCAAUGGUGUCCGAAGACUCCACCUCGAGCGUGAUGGUCUUGCCCGUCAGGGUCUUGACGAAGAUCUGCAUGCCACCGCGCAGGCGCAGCACCAGGUGCAGAGUCGACUCCUUCUGGAUGUUGUAGUCAGCCAGGGUGCGGCCGUCCUCCAGCUGCUUGCCGGCGAAGAUCAGGCGCUGCUGGUCCGGGGGGAUGCCUGCAUCCGGUGAGGAAACGCUCGUGUCAGACAAAGUGGGUGGGCGCAGGAAGCAGCAAUCAACACAGCCCAGUGCAGCUGCAAAGCGCCCGCCUUACCACUGACCCGCCUGGCCACCCACCCCUACCCCCCGGAAGGAAAGAGCCCCGACUCACCCUCCUUGUCCUGGAUCUUGGCCUUCACGUUCUCGAUGGUGUCCGAAGACUCCACCUCGAGCGUGAUGGUCUUGCCCGUCAGGGUCUUGACGAAGAUCUGCAUGCCACCGCGCAGGCGCAGCACCAGGUGCAGGGUUGACUCCUUCUGGAUGUUGUAGUCAGCCAGGGUGCGGCCGUCCUCCAGCUGCUUGCCGGCGAAGAUCAGGCGCUGCUGGUCCGGGGGGAUGCCUGCAUCCGGUGAGGAAACGCUCGUGUCAGACAAAGUGGGUGGGCGCAGGAAGCAGCAAUCAACACAGCCCAGUGCAGCUGCAAAGCGCCCGCCUUACCACUGACCCGCCUGGCCACCCACCCCUACCCCCCGUAAGGAAAGAG